CUCCUCUUGACUUUAGACUUCAUGACUCUUCUAGAUGUUAGUCUUCAAGCUGAAGAAGCAUUGGUGAGGAAGCAAGUGGAAAAUUGGCUGGAGUUGUCAAAUACCAAGGCAGGUGCAGAAAACUGAGCCCUGGAACAUCAAAUAUUAGGUCAGAAGACUUUCACUGGAGAUAUCCCUCCCUAUGCCUGGAAGAAAGGAAUAUUCUUAUCUCUGAAGACAUUGGGAAACACAAUAAUAGCUGAAAAACAGGCCUUGCUAACUUCUCUCCAGUUUAUUAUUAGAUGAUACAUUUUUAUCCAAUCAUAUUUCUCCAUCACUACCCACUUCUCCAUCAGAACUAGCCUUAAAAUGCAUAGGUUUACAUAUUUUUUAGUCUUCAUUUCCACAGUUC
rnacentral:lncRNA from 10 species